rnacentral:ncRNA from 18 species
GAUUUAUAAAGAAGCGCUGAGAGAGUAGGCUCGAUGAAGCGCUGGCAACCUGCUACACAGUAAGGUGCUAAGUCCUACCUAAUUUAUUCAUUAGGAAAGAUAAAUC